GGCCUUUAUUAUCAAUAGAAAUGAAACGUUUAGAAAGUUCGUAUUGAUGACACACCCAGAACAUUUUUCUGGAUCCACACCUGCUUACUGACAACAAAUUAAUAGCAUACUCACAAAAUGCAUGUCUUCUUGAAUUCAAAUUAAACAAGUUUUAUAUAGGCGCGUAAUACACAAUUAGAUAACACACAACCCUCGGCUAAUAUUGAAUUCAAAAAGAAAUAAUCCAAAAAAUAUCCGUGUUUAAGUUUUUUUCUUUUAUCAAAGCCCACAUGGCAUCUUUUAAGUCUUCUGGUUGUUUUUACUUGCGGCAAAUACCAAAUUUACAUUCAUCUAUUGGUUUUCACGUGCUUCAAAAUGUCACGUUUAAUGUGUUCCGUUUCUUUACAAUUGCUUCCAAUAUAUCAAAUGUCAUCUUUAAAGUGUUCUGUUUGCUUUCAUUUGCUUUCAAAUACCAAAUUCAAGCAUAGCAGUGUUUUUUCAGUUGUAUCCGAAUGUCAUUGAGAAUUAUUAUAGUUGUUUUCGUUUGUUUACAAAUGCUAAUUACCAGCUUUAAAAUUUGUUACGUAUACGGUGCAGGAAAUGCUUACCCUUCCGGAGCACCUGAUUAUACUCCCGGUUUUUGGUGGAGUUCGUGUUGUUUCUUUUUUAUUAUUUGCAACUGUUGAUGUCAAUGUCUUUUGGUUUUAUGAGUCUUUGUUUACUCCUUGGUUUGAUUGUUAUUGUCUUGUUAUUUUUACAUGACUCUCAAAACCAUUUUGAAUGUAGAAUCACAAUCUUGGAUUGUAAA
rnacentral:lncRNA from 1 species